AAAUUGAAGAGUUUGAUCAUGGCUCAGAUUGAACGCUGGCGGCAGGCCUAACACAUGCAAGUCGAGCGGCAGCGGGAAAGUAGCUUGCUA
rnacentral:rRNA from 4 species